GGGUUGUGAGGUUAAGCGACUAAGCGUACACGGUGGAUGCCCUGGCAGUCAGAGGCGAUGAAGGACGUGCUAAUCUGCGAUAAGCGCCGGUAAGGUGAUAUGAACCGUUAUAACCGGCGAUUUCCGAAUGGGGAAACCCAGUGUGAUUCGUCACACUAUCAUUAACUGAAUCCAUAGGUUAAUGAGGCGAACCGGGGGAACUGAAACAUCUAAGUACCCCGAGGAAAAGAAAUCAACCGAGAUUCCCCCAGUAGCGGCGAGCGAACGGGGAGGAGCCCAGAGCCUGAAUCAGCAUGUGUGUUAGUGGAAGCGUCUGGAAAGGCGCGCGAUACAGGGUGACAGCCCCGUACACAAAAGCGCAUGUGCUGUGAGCUCGAUGAGUAGGGCGGGACACGUGGUAUCCUGUCUGAAUAUGGGGGGACCAUCCUCCAAGGCUAAAUACUCCUGACUGACCGAUAGUGAACCAGUACCGUGAGGGAAAGGCGAAAAGAACCCCGGCGAGGGGAGUGAAAAAGAACCUGAAACCGUGUACGUACAAGCAGUGGGAGCCCCACCACUAAGCCAGUGGUGAACUCCACAUACGCAUCCUUUGCUGAGGAUACGGUUAACGGAGCGAAAGCGACGUUCAACCGCAAAAGAAGCAGAGGGGGCUUAGUGGUGGGGUGACUGCGUACCUUUUGUAUAAUGGGUCAGCGACUUAUAUUCUGUAGCAAGGUUAACCGUAUAGGGGAGCCGGAGGGAAACCGAGUCUUAACCGGGCGUUAAGUUGCAGGGUAUAGACCCGAAACCCGGUGAUCUAGCCAUGGGCAGGUUGAAGGUUGGGUAACACUAACUGGAGGACCGAACCGACUAAUGUUGAAAAAUUAGCGGAUGACCUGUGGCUGGGGGUGAAAGGCCAAUCAAACCGGGAGAUAGCUGGUUCUCCCCGAAAGCUAUUUAGGUAGCGCCUCGUGAACUCAUCUUCGGGGGUAGAGCACUGUUUCGGCUAGGGGGCCAUCCCGGCUUACCAACCCGAUGCAAACUGCGAAUACCGGAGAAUGUUAUCACGGGAGACACACGGCGGGUGCUAACGUCCGUCGUGAAGAGGGAAACAACCCAGACCGCCAGCUAAGGUCCCAAAGUCAUGGUUAAGUGGGAAACGAUGUGGGAAGGCCCAGACAGCCAGGAUGUUGGCUUAGAAGCAGCCAUCAUUUAAAGAAAGCGUAAUAGCUCACUGGUCGAGUCGGCCUGCGCGGAAGAUGUAACGGGGCUAAACCAUGCACCGAAGCUGCGGCAGCGAACGUAUCACCCAAGACAACUUUACGGAGUUGACGAUUGACGGAGCGAAGCGACGUCAAAGCGUUCAUUAAAGUCGAGUUGGCUUAGGGAUACGUUCGUUGGGUAGGGGAGCGUUCUGUAAGCCUGUGAAGGUGUGUCGUGAGGCAUGCUGGAGGUAUCAGAAGUGCGAAUGCUGACAUAAGUAACGAUAAAGCGGGUGAAAAGCCCGCUCGCCGGAAGACCAAGGGUUCCUGUCCAACGUUAAUCGGGGCAGG
rnacentral:rRNA from 1 species